CAACUAUAGUUAAUACCGGGUCAGCUGCAUUCUCAUACUCAGGUAACUAUUUUCUUGCCUUCACUCCCAUUCAUCAAUCUUUUAUAAACAAUGUAUCUGUUAUUCAUGAACCUGUUACAUACUCCCAAGCAUCUAAGGAUACUAACUGGAUUGAGGCUAUGCAGCAAGAGAUAGUGACUUUGGAGAAAAAUAAUACUUGGAUGUUAACUACCUUACCAGUAGGUAAGAAAGCUAUAGGCUGCAAGUGGAUGUAUAAGGUGAAAUGCAGGCCUAAUGGUGAGGUAGAUAGAUUUAAGGCUCGUUUGGUUGCCAAGGGAUACAAUCAAGUUGAGGGGCUGGAUUACAAAGAUAGAUUUUCUCCUGUGGCCAAACUUGUUACUGUAAGGCUUUUUAUAGCUUUAGCAACUGCUAAACAGUGGCCCAUUUAUCAAUUAGACAUAAAUAAUGCUUUUUUGCAUGGAUACUUAGAUGAAGAAGUUUAUAUGCAGCCCCCAUAAGGAUAUGAUAAGGCAUAACCAGGGCAAGUUUGUUUGUUGAAAAGGUCUUUAUAUGGCUUAAAACAAGCCUCUAGACAAUGAAAUCUAGAGUUUACUAGCUUUCUUAAAUCUUUAGACUUCACACAAUCACAACAUGAUUAUUAUUUGUUUACUCAAGGAAAUGCAGAUAACUUCAUGGCUCUUUUGAUUUAUGUGGAUAAUGUCAUUAUUUCUGGUGUGUGUACUGCUCAAAUAGAAGCUGUUAAACAAGAAUUACAUUUCAAGCUUAUCAUUAAAGACUUGGGAUUCAUGAAGUAUUUUUUAGGGCUGGAAAUUACAAGAUCAGAAAAGGGUACUCUUGUUAGUCAGAAGAAAUUCAUUACUGAUGUUUUGACAGAUACAAGAAUGUUACAUUGCAAACUAGCUACCUCUCCUUUACCUACUGGAUUACAUCUAUCCAUUGAUUCUAGUAAUCUUAUGUCUGAUCCAGAUGUUUAUAGAAGAUUGAUAGGGAGGUUGCUAUGUAUCAACAGUACCAGACCAGAUAUUAGUCAUGCUGUGCAACAUUUGAGCCAAUUUAUGUCUUCUCCUCGACAGCCUCAUUGGAAUGCAGCAUUGCAUGUCUUGAGAUACUUGAAAGUCCACUUCCAAAGGCUUGUAUUUUCUAGUGACCAAUGAUUUUAAGCUCACUGCAUUUUGUGAUGCAGAUUGGGCUUCCUGUGCCUUCACCCGAAAGUCACUCACUGGAUUUUGUGUGUUUCUUGGUUCCUCUCUUAUUUCUUGGAAGACAAAGAAGCAAACAAUGGUAUCCAAGUCUUUAGCAGAGGCAGAAUACAGGGCAAUGGCUUCUACAGUUUGU
rnacentral:misc_RNA from 1 species